rnacentral:tRNA from 1 species
UCCCUUGUAGCUAAGUCAGUAAAAGAAUCUGCCUGCAGUGCAGGAGACCCGGGUUCAAUCCCUGGGUUGGGAA